CGCUGGCGGCGUGCCUAAUACAUGCAAGUCGAACGGUCUUUCUAUGGAAGCUUGCUUCCACUGAGAAGAUAGUGGCGAACGGGUGAGUAACACGUGGGUAACCUGCCCAUAAGAGGGGGAUAACAUCCGGAAACGGGUGCUAAUACCGCAUAGUUUUCUUGAUCGCAUGAUCGGGAAAGGAAAGACGGCCUUUGUGCUGUCGCUUAUGGAUGGACCCGCGGCGUAUUAGUUAGUUGGUGAGGUAACGGCUCACCAAGACGAUGAUACGUAGCCGACCUGAGAGGGUGAUCGGCCACAUUGGGACUGAGACACGGCCCAAACUCCUGCGGGAGGCAGCAGUAGGGAAUCUUCCGCAAUGGACGAAAGUCUGACGGAGCAACGCCGCGUGAGUGAAGAAAGGUUUUCGGAUCGUAAAACUCUGUUGUCAGAGAAGAACAAGUUGGAGAGUAACUGCUCCAGCCUUGACGGUAUCUGACCAGAAAGCCACGGCUAACUACGUGCCAGCCGCAGC
rnacentral:rRNA from 1 species